CCUACGGGAGGCAGCAGUGGGGAAUAUUGCACAAUGGGGGAAACCCUGAUGCAGCGACGCCGCGUGAGCGAUGAAGUAUUUCGGUAUGUAAAGCUCUAUCAGCAGGGAAGAAAAUGACGGUACCUGACUAAGAAGCCCCGGCUAACUACGUGCCAGCAGCCGCGGUAAUACGUAGGGGGCAAGCGUUAUCCGAAUUUACUGGGUGUAAAGGGAGCGUAGACGGCUUGGCAAGCCAGAUGUGAAAGGCUGGGGCUCAACCCCAGGACUGCAUUUGGAACUGUCAUGCUAGAGUGUCGGAGAGGCAGGCGGAAUUCCUAGUGGAGCGGGGAAAUGCGUAGAUAUCAGGAGGAACACCGGUGGCGAAGGCGGCCUGCUGGACUGCGACUGACGUUGAGGCCCGAAAGCGUGGGGAGCAAACAGGAUUAGAUACCCCUGUAGUC
rnacentral:rRNA from 1 species